UACAGAGGAUGCAAGCGUUAUCCGGAAUGAUUGGGCGUAAAGCGUCUGUAGGUGGCUUUUUAAGUCCGCCGUCAAAUCCCAGGGCUCAACUCUGGACAGGCGGUGGAAACUACCAAGCUGGAGUACGGUAGGGGCAGAGGGAAUUUCCGGUGGAGCGGUGAAAUGACUGUGAGAGAGUCGGAAAGAACACCAACGGGCGAAAGC
rnacentral:rRNA from 1 species